UGGGGAAUUUUCCGCAAUGGGCGAAAGCCUGACGGAGCAACGCCGCGUGAGGGAUGAAGGCCUCUGGGCUGUAAACCUCUUUUCUCAAGGAAGAAGAACUGACGGUACUUGAGGAAUAAGCCACGGCUAAUUCCGUGCCAGCAGCCGCGGUAAUACGGGAGUGGCAAGCGUUAUCCGGAAUUAUUGGGCGUAAAGCGUCCGCAGGCGGCCUUGUAAGUCUGUCGUUAAAGCGUGGAGCUUAACUCCAUUUAAGCGAUGGAAACUACAAGGCUUGAGUGUGGUAGGGGCAGAGGGAAUUCCCGGUGUAGCGGUGAAAUGCGUAGAUAUCGGGAAGAACACCAGUGGCGAAGGCGCUCUGCUGGGCCAUAACUGACGCUCAUGGACGAAAGCCAGGGGAGCGAAAGGGAUUAGAUACCCCUGUAGUCCUGGCCGUAAACGAUGAGCACUAGGUGUCGGGGGAAUCGACCCCCUCGGUGUCGUAGCCAACGCGUUAAGUGUUCCGCCUGGGGAGUACGCACGCAAGUGUGAAACUCAAAGGAAUUGACGGGGGCCCGCACAAGCGGUGGAGUAUGUGGUUUAAUUCGAUGCAACGCGAAGAACCUUACCAGGGUUUGACAUCCUGCGAACCCUGAGAAAUCGGGGGGGUGCCUUCGG
rnacentral:rRNA from 1 species